rnacentral:rRNA from 1 species
UACGUAGGGGGCAAGCGUUGUUCGGAAUUACUGGGCGUAAAGGGAGCGUAGGCGGGUCAGUAAGUUAGAAGUUUAAUGCACAGGCUUAACCUGUGACUUGCUUUUAAUACUGCUAAUCUUGAGUAUGGAAGAGGGAGAUGGAAUUCCAGGUGUAGCGGUGGAAUGCGUAGAUAUCUGGAAGAACACCAUUAGCGAAGGCGGUCUCCUGGUCCAAUACUGACGCUGAGGCUCGAAAGCUAGGGGAGCAAACAGG